rnacentral:rRNA from 1 species
GCUUGUCUCAAAGAUUAAGCCAUGCAUGUCUAAGUAUAAAUAACUACACAGUAAAACUGCGAAUGGCUCAUUAAAACAGUUAUAGUUUAUUUGAUACAUUUUAAAUGGAUAACUGUAGAAACACUAGAGCUAAUACAUGCUAAGACCGUAAGGUUGUAUUUAUUAGAUAUACCGAGUAGGUGAAUCAUAAUAACCGAACGAACCGUAUGCGCAAGCGACGGUGGUUCAUUCAAGUUUCUGCCCUAUCAGCUUUCGAUGGUAGGGUAUUGGCCUACCAUGGCGUUAACGGGUAACGGAGAAUUAGGGUUCGAUUCCGGAGAGGGAGCCUGAGAGAUGGCUACCACAUCCAAGGAAGGCAGCAGG